rnacentral:rRNA from 2 species
CGGGUGUGUAAGUGUAGCGAUACAUUGAGCUAACCGGUACUAAUGAACCGUGAGGCUUAACCUUACAACGCCGAAG